rnacentral:misc_RNA from 1 species
GAUGAAGAUCGUAGCGAAAUGCGAUAAGUAGUGUGAAUUGCAGAAUUCAGUGAAUCAUCGAAUCUUUGAACGCACAUUGCGCCCCUUGGUAUCCCGAGGGGCAUGCCUGUUCGAGCGUCAUUUCACCACUCAAGCCUGGCUUGGUGUUGGGCGACGUCCUCUUUGGGGACGCGCCUCGAAACGCUCGGCGGCGUGGCACCGGCUUUAAGCGUAGCAGAAUCUUUCGCUUUGGAAGUCGGGGCCCCGUCUGCCGGAAGACCUGCUCGCAAGGUUGACCUCGGAUCAGGCAGGGAUACCCGCUGAACUUAAGCAUAUCAAUAAGCGGAGGA